GACGGGGGAUGGAAGCGUUAUCUGCAAUCACUGGGCGUCAAGCGUCUGUAGGUGGUGAAGCAAGCCACUGGUGCAAAACUCUGGCUCAACCGGAGGAAAGCCAGUGAAACUGCAUGACUAGAGUGUGGGAGAGGUAGAAGGAAUUCUCUGAGUAGCGGUGAAAUGCGUAGAUACAGGGAAGAACACCGGAGGCGAAAGCGUUCUACUGGAACACAACUGACACUGAGAGACGAAAGCUAGGGGAGCGAAUGGG
rnacentral:rRNA from 1 species